GAUGAACGCUAGCUACAGGCUUAACACAUGCAAGUCGAGGGGCAGCAUGGUCUUAGCUUGCUAAGGCCGAUGGCGACCGGCGCACGGGUGAGUAACACGUAUCCAACCUGCCGUCUACUCUUGGACAGCCUUCUGAAAGGAAGAUUAAUACAAGAUGGCAUCAUGAGUCCGCAUGUUCACAUGAUUAAAGGUAUUCCGGUAGACGAUGGGGAUGCGUUCCAUUAGAUAGUAGGCGGGGUAACGGCCCACCUAGUCUUCGAUGGAUAGGGGUUCUGAGAGGAAGGUCCCCCACAUUGGAACUGAGACACGGUCCAAACUCCUACGGGAGGCAGCAGUGAGGAAUAUUGGUCAAUGGGCGCGGCCUGAACCAGCCAAGUAGCGUGAAGGAUGACUGCCCUAUGGGUUGUAAACUUCUUUUAUAAAGGAAUAAAGUCGGGUAUGUAUACCCGUUUGCAUGUACUUUAUGAAUAAGGAUCGGCUAACUCCGUG
rnacentral:rRNA from 1 species